rnacentral:misc_RNA from 1 species
AACGCACUUUGCACCAGUUGAAAAAUUGGUAUAUUUGUUUGAAUAUUAUAAUAUUUGCCUCAGAACAUUUAUGUUUUGAGAAUUUGGGCUUAACAGAGGCUUUAGUAGAAGGUAAAACUGAUACCUGAAGCUUCUGUAGACCUUAAAUAUUAUUAAUGCUAAUCUCAAGGUAUAUAGAUUUAUCUGUAUUAUCUCGAUUUUAACUUAAUAUGAUUUUUGAAUUUAUUUCAAUAAUUUCUAUUGGGGUGGUAUAUUUAUUAGUGAUAGUAAGUGCUCUAGGAUUUGACUAAAAGUAUUUAUUGUAAUAAAAAGUUAUACUGGUACUCUAAUUUAAUUAUAGUUAAUAAGUAAAAAAACAUAAGCCUCCUUAAUAAAAUAUUCAAAUCAAGUAAGGCUACGCGCUGAAUUUAA